rnacentral:rRNA from 1 species
UAGUUGGUGGGGUAAGAGCCCACCAAGGCGACGAUCAGUAGCGGGUCUGAGAGGAUGAUCCGCCACACUGGGACUGAGACACGGCCCAGACUCCUACGGGAGGCAGCAGUGGGGAAUUUUGGACAAUGGGCGCAAGCCUGAUCCAGCCAUGCCGCGUGUAUGAAGAAGGCCUUCGGGUUGUAAAGUACUUUUGUCAGGGAAGAAAAGCCUGGGGAUAACACCCUCAGGUCAUGACGGUACCUGAAGAAUAAGCACCGGCUAACUACGUGCCAGCAGCCGCGGUAAUACGUAGGGUGCGAGCGUUAAUCGGAAUUACUGGGCGUAAAGCGAGCGCAGACGGUUAUUUAAGCAAGAUGUGAAAGCCCCGGGCUCAACCUGGGAACUGCGUUUUGAACUGGGUAACUAGAGUGUGUCAGAGGGGGGUAGAAUUCCACGUGUAGCAGUGAAAUGCGUAGAGAUGUGGAGGAAUACCGAUGGCGAAGGCAGCCCCCUGGGAUAACACUGACGUUCAUGCUCGAAAGCGUGGGUAGCAAACAGGAUUAGAUACCCUGGUAGUCCACGCCCUAAACGAUGUCAAUUAGCUGUUGGGGUACAUGAUGCCUUAGUAGCGUAGCAUAACGCGGAA